AAGCGCCGGCUAACUACGUGCCAGCAGCCGCGGUAAUACGUAGGGCGCAAGCGUUAUCCGGAAUUAUUGGGCGUAAAGAGCUCGUAGGCGGUCUGUCGCGUCUGCUGUGAAAUCCCGAGGCUCAACCUCGGGUCUGCAGUGGGUACGGGCAGACUAGAGUGCGGUAGGGGAGAUUGGAAUUCCUGGUGUAGCGGUGGAAUGCGCAGAUAUCAGGAGGAACACCGAUGGCGAAGGCAGAUCUCUGGGCCGUAACUGACGCUGAGGAGCGAAAGGGUGGGGAGCAAACAGGCUUAGAUACCCUGGUAGUCCACCCCGUAAACGUUGGGAACUAGUUGUGGGGUCCAUUCCACGGAUUCCGUGACGCAGCUAACGCAUUAAGUUCCCCGCCUGGGGAGUACGGCCGCAAGGCUAAAACUCAAAGGAAUUGACGGGGACCCGCACAAGCGGCGGAGCAUGCGGAUUAAUUCGAUGCAACGCGAAGAACCUUACCAAGGCUUGACAUAUACGAGAACGGGCUAGAAAUAGUCAACUCUUUGGACACUCGUAAACAGGUGGUGCAUGGUUGUCGUCAGCUCGUGUCGUGAGAUGUUGGGUUAAGUCCCGCAACGAGCGCAACCCUCGUUCUAUGUUGCCAGCACGUAAUGGUGGGAACUCAUGGGAUACUGCCGGGGUCAACUCGGAGGAAGGUGGGGAUGACGUCAAAUCAUCAUGCCCCUUAUGUCUUGGGCUUCACGCAUGCUACAAUGGCCGGUACAAAGGGCUGCAAUACCGCGAGGUGGAGCGAAUCCCAAAAAGCCGGUCCCAGUUCGGAUUGAGGUCUGCAACUCGACCUCAUGAAGUCGGAGUCGCUAGUAAUCGCAGAUCAGCAACGCUGCGGUGAAUACGUUCCCGGGUCUUGUACACACCGCCCGUCAAGUCAUGAAAGUCGGUAACACCUGAAGCCGGU
rnacentral:rRNA from 1 species